CACCUGUUUAUCAAAAACAUGGUCUUAUGAUUAUAUUUUAAGAUUUAUUCUGCUCAAUGAUAAAUAUAUUAUUAAAUAGCCGCAGUAUUUUGACUGUGCAAAGGUAGCAUAAUCAAUUGUUUUUUAAUUGAGGACUGGGAUGAAGGAAUGGAUGAAAUUUAAACUGUCUUUAAUAAAAAAUUAAAAUUUAAAUUUUAAGUAAAAAUGCUUAAAUAUUAUUAUGGGACGAGAAGACCCUAUAGAAUUUUAUAUAUGAUUUGAUAAUUGUAGUUAUGUGUAAUAAUUAUUAUUUAAUUGUAUAUUUUAUUGGGAGGAUAAUUAAAUUAAAUAAACUUUAUUAUAUAGAUUAUAUAAUAUGUUUAAGAAUAUAUUUAUUUUAUUUUAUAAUAAUAUUAUAUAUUAAAACAUUAAUUUAUGAAAAAUUGAAUAAAUUUAAAUUAAAUUUAUGUAAAAAUUAAUUACCUUAGGGAUAACAGCGUUAUAUUUUUUAAAAGAUCUUAUUGAAAAAAAUGUUUGCGACCUCGAUGUUGAAUUAAAAUAAAAAUUAAAUGAAGAAGUUUAGUAUUUUAGUCUGUUCGACUAUUAAAAUUUUACAUGAUUUGAGUUCAAAUCGACG
rnacentral:rRNA from 1 species